rnacentral:rRNA from 1 species
GACGAACGCUGGCGGCGUGCUUAACACAUGCAAGUCGAACGGAAAGGCCCUGCUUUUGUGGGGUGCUCGAGUGGCGAACGGGGGAGUAACACGUGAGUAACCUGCCCUUGACUUUGGGAUAAAUUCAGGAAAAUGGGGCUAAUACCGGAUAGGAGCUCCUGCUGCAUGGUGGGGGUUGGAAAGUUUCGGCGGUUGGGGCUGGACUCGCGGCUUAUCGGCUUGUUGGUGGGGUAGUGGCUUACCAAGGCUUUGACGGGUAGCCGGCCUGGGAGGGUGACCGGCCACAUUGGUACUGAGAGACGGCCCAGACUCCUACGUGAGGCAGCAGUGGGGAAUAUUGCACAAUGGGCGGAAGCCUGAUGCAGCAACGCCGCGUGCGGGAUGACGGCCUUCGGGUUGUAAACCGCUUUCGCCGGUGACGAAGCGUGAGUGACGGUAAUGGGUAAAGAAGCACCGGCUAACUACGUG